rnacentral:rRNA from 1 species
GAUGAACGCUGGCGGCGUGCCUAAUACAUGCAAGUCGAGCGAACAGAUGAGGAGCUUGCUCCUCUGACGUUAGCGGCGGACGGGUGAGUAACACGUGUAUAACCUACCUAUAAGACUGGGAUAACUUCGGGAAACCGGAGCUAAUACCGGAUAAUAUAUUGAACCGCAUGGUUCAAUAGUGAAAGACGGUUUUGCUGUCACUUAUAGCUGGAUCCGCGCCGCAUUAGCUAGUUGGUAAGGUAACGGCUUACCAAGGCAACGAUGCGUAGCCGACCUGAGAGGGUGGUCGGCCACACUGGAACUGAGACACGGUCCAGAGGCCUACGGGAGGCAGCAGUAGGGAAUGUGCCGCAAUGGGCGAAAGCCUGACGGAGCAACGCCGCGUGAGUGAUGAAGGUCUUCGGAUCGUAAAACUCUGUUAUUAGGGAAGAACAAAUGUGUAAGUAACUAUGCACGUCUUGACGGUACCUAAUCAGAAAGCCACGGCUAACUACGUG